rnacentral:lncRNA from 1 species
GGGUGCCAUGCUUUUUGGGAAGCGAUUGGAGGUCAACUUUUCAAAGCAUCCGAACAUAACUCAAGGUGCUGACACGCACGAGUAUAGCAACUCUAAUCUCAAUCGCUUCAACCGUAAUGCUGCAAAGAACUAUAGAUACUGCUGCUCACCAACAAAGAUGAUCCACCUUUCCACUUUACCACAAGACAUUUCCGAAGAGGAAAUAGUAAGCCAUUUAGAGGAGCAUGGCACCAUUGUCAACACCAAACUCUUUGAGAUGAAUGGGAAGAAGCAGGCCCUCGUUCUGUUUGAAACCGAGGAGCAAGCCACUGAAGCCGUCGUGUGCAAGCACGCAAGCUCACUUGCUGGGUCAAUAAUUCGGAUUUCCUUUUCUCAGCUGC